CAGUAGCCGCGGUAAUACGUAGGUGGCAAGCGUUGUCCGGAAUUAUUGGGCGUAAGGGGCUCGCAGGCGGUUUCUUAAGUCUGAUGUGAUAGCCCCCGGCUCAACCGGGGAGGGUCAUUGGAAACUGGGAAACUUGAGUGCAGAAGAGGAGAGUGGAAUUCCAUGUGUAGCGGUGAAAUGCGUAGAGAUGUGGAGGAACACCAGUGGCGAAGGCGACUCUCUGGUCUGUAACUGACGCUGAGGAGCGAAAGCGUGGGGAGCGAACAGGAUUAGAUACCCGCGUAGUCCCUGUCUCUUAUAC
rnacentral:rRNA from 1 species